rnacentral:misc_RNA from 1 species
GUAUAUGUUAUUGUCGUAUAACCCAAAUGAUUCUUCUACAAAAGUUCUUUUAAUUUAAAGAAGAACAUGGCAACAAAUUUCUCAACAUCAUUCUCCAUAUAUCCCAAAUUAUAUGUGGCUGAUAAAUGUAAGUUCUUGGGAAAAUUAACAGAAUGGGGAGAUAAUUGCAAAAAGCCUCACGUUUGGUGCUCUUAUUAAAACGAGCACAACAAUAUAGUAUGUCGUGUUCUUAAUAUUGCAUGUGGCUGGAUAAGACCAGCACAAUUGUAUGAUAUAUAUAUCUUAGAUAGAGUUAGGUAUUAUGGAAGGGAACAAAGCUUUAGGUAAGUGUUAAUUUUUAAUCAGGUAUGUGUCAAAUCUUUGAAUUUAUUGAAGCCUCACAG